GAGGGACGGAUGAGAGGAAAUCAAGGAAGAUUUUCAGAGGGCAGGUGGGGGGAGGCUGGGGACCUUCCUGUGGGGGCACAAAUCUUGUCCUGUCACUGGAGGAUGCACACAGCUCAUGGAGACCACGUCAACCACCGGCCUAAGGAAAGCAGCGGGAAAGCUGUGAGUUGAAGCCAGAGAUGAAUCCAUGCUCAACCUGUGUGUGGCAGACUCCUAAGUACUUGCUAGGGAGGGUCCUCAAAACCAGCUCCAGGUCCUCAAAAUUAGUGAACAAGCUGUGGACACCACAGAGCAAAGCCACUGCUCAGAGAAAGCACACAUCCUGGUUGCUAUGUCUUCCAUGCACGGGGCCCUCACUAUGGACCAGACACUCCUAAGGGCCAUGCACCCUGUACGAUAUCUGAUCCCCCAUCUAACUUCCCUUUACAGAAAGUGUGACGCGGCUUAAGCAGCUUGUCUGAGUUUGCACAGCUGGCAAAUGGCUGAGCCAUGACUCACACCCAGGUCCAUCCACCGCCAAAGCUCCAGAUCUCUGGCAUCCUUCUAAGGUCAGAAAGGGAAAGAAAUCCCUAAUAAGGAGCCUGUGUGACGGCGUGCCCCCCUCCACUUUCCCACCCCUGCCAAGGACCCGUUUGAAGGCUGUUCACGCCAGUCACUGCAAUCACCAUUGAGCACAGAGAUGACAGUUCCAGCAAGCACUGACCUUCCAGCCCACUCUGCGGAGGAGAAGACUGAGGGGCAGAGAGGCUGUUGAUUUGCUGCAGUUGACUCUGACCCUAAUUUCCCGGCGCUGACUCAAACUCAUCAGGAACACUGCUUUCACUGAGUGUAUGAAGUGGUUUCUCCAUCCGUGUGGCUUUACCUGAACUCACACCGGUCCCACGGCCCAGGUGUGGAGCCGAGCACUCCCUCUGCCUCCUCCCUGGACUGCAGGACCUGUGUCUCGCUUUAUGAAAGAGAUGCCAUUUGGGGAAGACUCGCAUUGUCGGGAGCGCUGUGGACGCUCCAGAAGGAGAUCAACACGAUGAUGACGAUGCCGGGUGGAGGGAAUGUGCACUUCUCGGGAGCCAGAAAAGAAUAAUCUGAAUGUCUCCAGCAUCAAGAAAAGACCAGUAUUGAAGGUGAUGGAUGCCUUAAUUACGCUGAUUGGAUCUUUACAAAUUAUAUUAAUGUAUUAAAUUAUUACAUGUAUGCAGAAAGUCUGUACACCUAUUAUGCACCAAUAAAAAAGAAAUUUUUUAAAGUGAGCAAA
rnacentral:sRNA from 1 species